AGGCGUGUCAGAAAUCGGCAAAUUCCUAUUGCUGUAACAAUCAACUUUGUAACAGACACAUUCCAUCAAAACCAAUUAUCGUAAAUCCAACCUCCAAUCAGCAUAUACAAGUCAAGUACCAUACAGACGUACGGAUAACGUGUAUAGUCACUGGAUAUCCGGAACCCACCAUUGGAUAUGAGUUCAAGCAUACAAACCCUUUUCCAACUAAUUUUGGAAAAGAGAACAACAAUACAUUGGUGAUUUCUAAUUAUAAUAAAGAAAAUGACGGCCAUUACCACUGUUAUGCUGUGAAUUCCUUAGGAACAGCGAAAGUAGACUUUACCAUUAAAGGGACUGACACAUGAUGGGUACUAGCCUAAAAGAAGUUCCACAAGACCGCAAACAUUUACUUCAAGUGUUCGAUGUUAUCAGAACA